UUUCAAUGUUUACGUAUUUCCUUAAACGAAACCUUUGAAGACCCUUGUUUUCAGCGAUUCAAACCAGAAUACCGUCUCGAGUCACGGAAACAAUUUCGCAACACGAGCGAUAACGUACAAGCGCAUCCGGCAACCUCGAUCCAACUCACAUUUGCGCAUCGCUUGGCUCGUUCUAUCACUGUACCAAAUGACUGACGCGAAUAAAACAAACGAAGAACUAACUUCCGACGUUCCGCUGAAAAAAUAAACGCGACGUAAAAAUAAAUUCAAAUCUUCCGCAAAGUUCGAACGUCGGCAUCGUUAGUCUUCCGAGUGUUUUCCUCGUCGUCUUAGUUCCGAUUCAGAGAUUCGCGCGACGAUUAGGCGAAUCAACGGUUCCCGACGCUCUCCGGGGUAUCAAAAAUCUUACGGAAUAUCGACUCUUGAGCAACCCUAUCCGGGAAACAAUUAUGCGUGUAGAACAAGCGCCCUAUGGUCGUCCUCGAACUUCGAACAGCGCGGAUCGAAAGGAAGACUUGCGUACUCCUCUUAAGUAUGUCUGUGUCAGCGUUUCCCAAAAUGUCAUGGAACACUUCCCAAUAGUAAUGGAACACUUCGUGUCGCGAUAUAUUCAUGCUUGUAUCCUUCUAUGGUCAUCUCCUUUUUAAACUUAAGUGUACGUAGAUAUCAGGUAAUUAAUGCUCGAAAUAUUUCAAAGUUGCACUCCAUACGAGAAAGUACAUAUAUUAUUGAGAGCAAACAUCGAUUUUAAUUAAUAAGAAAAGUUAUAUACACUCAUACCAAGCGACACAAAUUUCGGUUGUUACGAAGGGAGAAUUAAUCACGCUACAUCGUUGGUUUCUCGUUAAUGUCAUCGGUUGGAAAUCGAGUAUUUCGUGAUCCGUUUGAUAAGCAAUCUGUGCCAAUGUAUCGAUGACCGAAGAGAAUGUAGUUGUAAGUUAGGAUGAUACAAGAUCAGUGUACAGAUAUGCAAAAUCGAUUUUAUUCUUUCCAACAGUUGACGACGAUUUUCACAGAACACCAGUGUUCCGCGGAACACAGCUUGGGAAACGCUGGUCUGUGCAAUCAAUUUUACGCGUAAUUUGCCGUCUCGCGACGAAUACAAACGUUUACGGCUCGUCGUGUCGGUACGUAGAAUAAUUACAAUGAAAUCUGCCAGCAGAGUAGGACGUUACGAUACGAUAUACAAUUUGUACGCGCGUAUACGAUGACGUAAAUAUAAUAUAAUAUAAUGUAAUAUAAUAUAUAGAAUAGAAUAUAACGCGAUGUCGUAUGCAUUUCAAUGUAUCAUAAAAUCUGUGUCGAAGAGUAUUCUAUAAAAAUACUUUUCGGUAGGGUCGAUCAACGAUAAUUCUCUGUCGGACAGAGCUGUCCCUUAUUCGCAUAUCACCCUCGUGACGAAAGUCUUUGUACCGCGAUGCAAUCGUUUGUUACCAUGUAUUUGGGAACAGCUCUGCGCCUUGGGGUUUAGCCCUCUCAGACACUUUUAUCGUAAUAAUUAAUACAAUUUUAUUACUUCGUUACGAAAAUAUCGAUGAAUUCUUUCCUUGAUAAUAAAAUAUGUUUAACGUCGAAGUGUUGGCAGAAAAAUACAAAAUAAAAUAAAAUAAAAUUUAUAUUUAUGUUGUUCUGCAUAAGGAAAGUGCGUCUAAUUUUCUACCAAAAAUGAUUCAGCUUUCAAAAGUUAAAAGCUCGUCUUUAGUUUACAAAAUUACCUUUUGUCUGAAAGGGUUAACCAUAGGUACUCCAUGUAUUGGGAAUUCGAGGAAAAUGGUAAGCCCCGUCACGGGGCAAGUAUAUGUAUAAUUGAUUCGAAGGACGUGCACUGCGAUCGGAGUCCCCGCGAAUCCGCAUGAUCUAUAACAAUGAGAUAGGUACCUAUUACAAGCGCGCGUGACAAGUGUGCGUUUAGUGUCGCGUUGCGAACUGAGAUGCAUCCGCUGGACUGUUCGCAUGGUUGGUGUUCCACGGGAGUCCGAUUAAUGCGUUUGUUCGAUGCGACGGAACUACGGGGUCUCCGAUUCUCUGCACGAUACCUUUGGGAAAGAUAUAUACAGGAUGCGUCGUACGCCAACGAGAUUCGAGACUCUUGAACUGCGAUCGUUGUCUCGCGCUUGUUGUGCCCUGGCAAACUACAUGACAGGAAAUUCGAUCGAAUGAGCACCGCAUCGAAAGAUCACGGCCGUCCUGACCCACUCCGUCGCACGUGUCUCCUGUGAAUUACUUAAAAUGCAUUCGCGCAGGACCAGCUAUUUUUAAAAGUCUUUGGUCUCGAUACAAAUAUCGGCGCCACGCGUCGAGAAACACGACACACGGGGGACGAUUCAGAUAAUGGAUGGCUGGUUCUACGAUCCGAUUGUACGUUGGGUCGGUGAAUUAACCUUUGCUUACGACAUUCACGGAAGUUAAGCGCUUCUUUACCAAUUGAAUCCGUUUACGGUAAGUAUUCAAUCGCAUGUAAUGUCGAGCACGCGAGGAUACUGUGUCGUUGCACUGCAUUUGUUGAAGGAAACAGACCUCACGCACACGGGCAGUGCUCACGAAUUUAGUUAGAAAAAUGGGACAUUGAAUUUCAAAUAUAAAAGUACGUUGCUUAAAUCUGAAAUGGUAUUACACACAGUAUUUGAGUUACAAAUCGUCUCCGUUUCCGUUUUCAAACACGUGCUACCAUCUAAUGGGAACGAGCGGUCUAGGUUGACCGCGUCUGAUCAUGAGCGUCUGCUUCUACUGCGGUCGGUCUGGUCGGCAUUCGCAGUACUCACUGCUCGUUCUACACGAAAUCGAUCGUUCUUCCACUGGAUAUCGAAAUUUUUUAUCGGAAUGAAGAAACGAUUCGAAUGUCAUACGCGUAACAAUUAUUUUUUUUUUAAUUCUAUCACACGGACUGUAAUAUUUUUUAAUCUUCAAUGAAAUGCGAUUUUCAUUUUUUUGCUCUGCAGGUAACGAAUAAUUUCUCGCCUCAUUAAUAAAAUCAAUUUUCGCCAGCUAAACAAGUAUAGAAAUGAUUCCUUGUUGAAAUAGUCACCGGAGAUAACUACCUAAUAUUUAAAAGGAAACUACAACU